CGAAGGGUGCAAGCGUUGCUCGGAAUUAUUGGGCGUAAAGGGUAGGUAGGUGGUGAUGAAAGUCUGGAGUGAAAUCCCCGAGCUUAACUUGGGACGUGCUUUGGAAACUUCAUCACUAGAGUACUAGAGAGGUUCGUGGAAUUCCUGGUGUAGCGGUGAAAUGCGUAGAGAUCAGGAGGAACAUCAGCGGCGAAGGCGGCGAACUGGAUAGUAACUGACACUCAACUACGAAAGCGUGGGGAGCAAACAGGAUUAGAUACCCUGGUAGUCCACGCUGUAAACGAUCGGUACUAGGAUUGGUGGGAGUUGACCCCUGCCGAUCCGGAGCUAACGCGAUAAGUACCGCGCCUGGGAAGUACGGUCGCAAGACUA
rnacentral:rRNA from 1 species